GCACCUCAUUUCUCUUCACUCCUCAGUGUCCUUCUCUGCUGUCCCAGAUAGAGCAGCCACAAUCACUUUCUUCCAUCCAGCAAAUAGUCCAACUCACCUCGACCAGACAGAGAGGACAUCUAUGCUGCUGCACAAACAUCUCUCACAUCUCUAUGUAGCUAAUAUUAAAGACAAACAAAAGCGAGCAAAAUGAUUUGCAAAAAUUUUGCAGAGGACAUGGAGCUCUUUUUAAAAGCAUGUGCUGACGAGCAGGGACUACGGGUCAUGUGACGUUUGACACUUAAUGGACAGAUGAAGGCACUGGCUGCUUGUUUGUGUUUUUAUGUGUUGUUGGGUUGGUUUUUUUUCAGUGUACAGAAUUCCAAUUAAACUUGUUAUAAAAUGUUGUUCACUUGUUUCCAUUUCCAUACUUAUAGUAAAAAAAUUUAGUGUAAAUGUAACAGCAUUGUUUAUAAUUGUAACUUCAAAAUAAAAAGCUUACAGUUGCUAUUAACAUUAAUGUAUUACCCUGUAAUCCAUAAUAUUUUUAUACAUUUUACGCAUUAACCCUCUGGGCUCUAUCCUGGCCUUAUGUGGCCACUUCACUUCCUUUUUCUUUCUUUUUUUGACCAUUUUUGCUGUGUUAAUGCAAAUGGAAUGAAAAUGUGUAGAUUUUUUUCAGCUUUUGGCCACUUAAAACCCAUUAUUAUGACAUUUUUAAAUUCCUUGUUAUUGACAGUGCUAAAUCAUGCAAUUUAGGUAAAAUUGCUUUUAUUCUAAACUCAGCACAUAAAAAUUAUGGUUGUUGUUGUUGUUUUUUUGUUUUUUUUUUUGUUUUUUUAACCAAAUUACAUCAUUUACCCAUUUUUGGCUGAACAACAAAUUUCAUGUAAUAUUUUUAGUUUCAAACAGGGGUGUUUGAUGGCUUACUACACCGCAGUGGACCAAAAGAAUGACAUAGGUUUGAUCUUAAGGGUCCAAUUGUCAUGGUCCCCGUGCCUGCUCGGCUGGCCCUGUGUGGCUACAUGUUAUGUUUUGUCUUUUCUCUCUCCUCUCUCUCUGCUCGCUGCCUGGGCGGAGCUCAUUGUGAGCUCCCGGCCUCCACCACCUGUAGGCAAUCACCUGUGGCUCCUCACCUUGUUUGCUCCCGCUACUUAAGGCAGUGACUGAGAGCACCUCACCGCUGGACUAUUGAAUAACGCUCAUUUCUCGUGUUUGGUUUGGAGACUCUGGACGCUUUUCCCGACCCCGCUCUGCACCCCUGGGAACCCUGGCCCCCUUCUCCUUCACCUGUAUAUAGUGCACCUGGAGUGUGUAAAUAAACCUGUUUUUCUGAGAUUUCAGUCUGCGCCGAGUCCUCCCUGCUCC